GAAGCUUUCUGCAGGAUCUCAACAUAAACCCUAAAGUUGAGAACUUGUAGAAAUGCAUUGUGACAAUACUACUGCUAUCCAAUAUGCUCAGGAUCUGAAAUUUCAUAAGAAAAUCUAACAUAUUAAGAGGCAUUAUCACUUUUUUCGAGGUACCAUAAAAAACGAGAAAAUUGCUCUUAAGUAUAUAUCCACUAACAAAAU
rnacentral:lncRNA from 1 species